CAAGGUGGGGGAUAACGUAGACGAAAGUUACGCUAAUACCGCAUUAUUCUGUGAGCAGGAAAGCAGGGGGAUCGCAAGACCUUGCGCUGAUUGAGCGGCCGAUAUCAGAUUAGCUAGUUGGUGAGGUAAAGGCUCACCAAGGCGACGAUCUGUAGCGGGUCUGAGAGGAUGAUCCGCCACACUGGAACUGAGACACGGUCCAGACUCCUACGGGAGGCAGCAGUGGGGAAUUUUGGACAAUGGGCGCAAGCCUGAUCCAGCCAUGCCGCGUGAGUGAAGAAGGCCUUCGGGUUGUAAAGCUCUUUCGGCCGGGAAGAAAUCGCACAGGUUAAUACCCUGUGUGGAUGACGGUACCGGAAUAAGAAGCACCGGCUAACUACGUG
rnacentral:rRNA from 1 species